GACGAACCGUGCGAACGUUAUUCGGAAUCACUGGGCUUAAAGCGCGUGUUAGGCGGAUCGGUGCGUCGGCGCCUGAAAUCCCCCGGCUCAACCGGGGAACGCGGCCCGAAACGACCGGUCUGGAGGGACGUAGGGGGGACUGGAACUCCGGUGGAGCGGUGAAAUGCGUUGAGAUCGGAAGGAACGCCCGUGGCGAAAGCGAGUCCCUGGACGUCUGCUGACGCUGAGACGCGAAAGCUAGGGGAGCGAACGGG
rnacentral:rRNA from 1 species